UUAGCAUAACAGAAAUAUAUGAUUCCCACAAUGCAUAAAAGAGCUUGAAUCUCACCCUUAAAACAUUCCAACUUUCCCUUCAUCUCACUCGAACAAAAUCCUUGACCCUACAUUGAAAUUGCUAAUAGAAUUGGUUUUUUAACAUUACAAUUACUCACAACAGUAUAUCAAAUCCUGCACUAACUUGCUACUAACGAUUUAACAUCCAACCGAGUUCAAAACGGAAGCUUGACGACAUGAAUUAACUAGCAUCCAAUCGAUCAUCGACAAAAUUCACUUCAGAUAACUAACAUGUUAAUCAGACUAAUCAACUAAGCACACCUUGCAUCCUGCAUUUUCAUGUUGACAGUAGAAACAUUAUUAUGCCCGCCAUUCAUGACAGCUUUGCAAAAAUCAUCCAGCCUACUAAUACAGUAGAGAAAAAUAUCAUUUUCAUCCUGCAGUAAAUCACAUAACAGAUCAAGACCUAAUUCCACGCCAUUGACUUGACCUAACCAAUUUUCAUUACUUAACUAACCGAAUGACAACCUAACACAUUUUUCAAUGUCUAACUAACUGAAUGUGAAUUGAAUUUACACUUUUGUUUCCAACAGAUUUUAUAACUAACAUCCAACUGAUAUUCACUAACCAACUAUCAUAGCUCAAUCUCAUUUCAAUGUGAAUUUAAGUUAAUUUUGUUACCUGCCCUAACGGUGCCCGAUGUUCACGACCUGCCCGAUUCAGUUACAGCUCUUCAUUCCUCUCUAUAACAUUUCAUUUGCCUCAUUCCGCAUCACUUUUUUAAUUUCGGAAAUUUCUUCAUUCCAAACUUACACAACCUCUUGAUUCUUCAAGCUACGCUUAUCUUCAUUCUGCAACGUCUGCAAGAUUUUCAUUCUGCAACGUCUGCAAGAGCUUGAUUCUGUAACUUCUGCAAGAGCUUCAUUCUAGAGCCUCAAGCUUUAUUCUAUAAUCUGCAAUUCACGGGGAAACAGAUAACUGAAUCAUAGCAAUUAGAAGAAGAAGACUAAAGAAGAAGAGGAGAAAGCAAAUCGAGGAGAAUUCGCUCAUCCUCCUUACAACUUCUCAACCAUUCCCGUACCAGAGGUGUUCUUCAUCUGCAACGGUUCACACAAAAGCAUACUCAAUCUCUACAAUUUACAUACCAGUUUCAGAGUUACAAGAGUAAGAAUAAGAAAGGCAAAGUUGGAAUCAGUUUUGUACCUGUCAAUGAGUAAAGCUUCGAGUCCGAUAAGCCUCUUACAUCCAUUCUCGUUCUUCUUAUUCGUUGUCAUGUGCGUACAUGAGUUGAUUCGAGUGUGGAUGAUGAUUCUAAGCUGCGAACUAUGGAGGUAGAGUCACGUCCUUCAUUUGGCGCAAGGAGAAAUUUCCAUCUUAGCUUCUUUCCAUAAGCGCUUUUUCUGGUGUGUUUCGUGUUACUGAGAUUUCUUUCAAAUCCGGAGGAGGACAUUGGAUUCGUGGCACGAUGAGCUCGUAUAAGAUGAAUACGACGGAUUCAUGGUGUUGACAGGAGACGAAUCCGGCGCGACUUUUGGAAUGUGCGAGUAAGCUUGAAUAUGUGACAUUCAUU
rnacentral:lncRNA from 1 species